rnacentral:rRNA from 1 species
AUUGAACGCUGGCGGCAUGCUUUACACAUGCAAGUCGAACGGUAACAGGCCUUCGGGUGCUGACGAGUGGCGAACGGGUGAGUAAUGCAUCGGAACGUGCCCAAUCGUGGGGGAUAACGUAGCGAAAGUUACGCUAAUACCGCAUAAGCCCUGAGGGGGAAAGUGGGGGACCGCAAGGCCUCACGCGAAUGGAGCGGCCGAUGUCAGAUUAGCUAGUUGGUGAGGUAAAGGCUCACCAAGGCGACGAUCCGUAGCGGGUCUGAGAGGACGACCCGCCACACUGGAACUGAGACACGGUCCAGACUCCUACGGGAGGCAGCAGUGGGGAAUUUUGGACAAUGGGGGCAACCCUGAUCCAGCCAUUCCGCGUGAGUGAAGAAGGCCUCGGUUGUAAGACUCUUUCUAGCAGGAACGAAACGGUAGGAGGGUUAAGUAACCCGUUUACUUAAC